rnacentral:rRNA from 1 species
GUCUACGGCCAUGCUACCCUGAACAAGCCCAAUUUCAUCUGAUCUCGGAAGCUAAGCAGAGUAAGGCCUGGUUAGUACUUGGAUGGGAGACCACUUAGGAAGACUACGUGCUAUAGGUG